AGCGAACGCUGGCGACAGGCCUAACACAUGCAAGUCGAACGAAGCCUUCGGGCUUAGUGGCGGACGGGUGAGUAACACGUGGGAACGUACCUUUUGGUUCGGAAUAACGCAGAGAAAUUUGCGCUAAUACCGAAUGAGCCCUUCGGGGGAAAGAUUUAUCGCCGAAAGAUCGGCCCGCGUUGGAUUAGGUAGUUGGUGUGGUAAAGGCGCACCAAGCCUACGAUCCAUAGCUGGUCUGAGAGGAUGAUCAGCCACACUGGGACUGAGACACGGCCCAGACUCCUACGGGAGGCAGCAGUGGGGAAUCUUGCGCAAUGGGCGAAAGCCUGACGCAGCCAUGCCGCGUGAAUGAUGAAGGUCUUAGGAUUGCAAAAUUCUUUUACCAGGGACGAUAAUGACGGUACCUGGAGAAAAAGCCCCGGCUAACUUCGUGCCAGCCGCCGCGGUAACAC
rnacentral:rRNA from 1 species